GCGGGGAGCGGGGCCGCCGCGGAGCCCCCCCCCCCCGGCCCCGGGGAGGGGAGGUGGGGGGACCCCGCUGCGCUCCGGCGGGGCCUGCGGCCUGUCCCGGGCCCGCCGGCCCUCAGAGCCUGCCCCCGAUGCGGGCAGCGGGCGGCCCGGCGCCUGCUGGGGGGAGCCGCCUGGGCAGCGGCCCGGCCGGGGGCUGCGGGCCCCGGAGGCCCCGAGGGGCCCUCGGGUGUUCGGGGAGGCCUGCGCCCCCGGAACCGCCGGGCUGGCACGUUUUAAAAAAGCCCUGAAGGCUUCCCAGGAGCGUGUGUGCCCGGAGGGUGUUGGGAAAUACAGGGAUUUUUCCAGUGCUAGCAGUGGGCUUGCUCUGGUCGCCUCCAGUUUAGCCUUGGAAAAGCUGCAGAAAUAACCUGGAUUCCCUUCUGUGCAGAGUGUAAUUUAAUUCUGCUGUAGAUACCGGUCUUCAGCUGCUUUCCAGCAGCAGCAGCAGUCAUAGCUGCAUGCAGUCCUACCGAGAGAUGCAGAGCUGAGAUACGGCGUGCUUUGAUUUGCACAAUCUCUUUUUCUCUUGAUAAGAAGCAGGAGAAGAAUCUUUAAUCCAUCGGGUGCACGCACAGUCAGGCUUGCAGGGCUGGGAAACAUUAAAUUCCCAGACUUACUGGGUUGGCAAAGGGAAGCCACAGACAUGUACUUUGCAGUUGAUCAGCUCAGGCCUUGCACCUCUGGUCUUCAGGAAGCUGGGAUCUUGGUUUGCAGUUGUGAAUUUGCUUCACCCAAGAGCCAAAAUAAUCACAUCUGCACGUUGUUUGAUGUGCUCCUGGUACGCUGUUGCUAGUUUACUGAAACCUUGCUCUCUGUAGCUCAUCUAAGUUGAAUUUCAUUAGUCCCUGUGAGAGGCUUUGCUGCUCCACAUGGUGUCUGCUGGGGUGGGAUAUGGCCUCCUAAAUAAAUACAGUAGCAGCCUGCUACUACUGGGUCUGCGUGCAUGAGGGAUGUACCUACCUGCUCAGGAUGGACUCCUGACUUGUCUGUCAUGUGUCACAGAUCUCGCUGAAUUUAACUUUGGCCAAAGCUAGAGCAAAAAUUCUUUAGGUGAAUACCCCAGGUUGAAUAAGAUGAAAAAAUACUGUGGUUGAAUUUGGAGAAAUUGGUAGACCAGCUGUAUAUAACAAACUGUAGAUCUGCAUGCGGAAAGAAGUUACAGAGUUUUGUGCUUCAGGGUGUGCACCAAUAAUUACAAGUGACAAAAGGACUUCUUAGUUCUUCCCUUGCCUUCGUGCAGGCGUGCACAUUUAUCCUCCUGAGUGACAUCUUUUGGUUUUUUCCUUGAACAUUUGAUAUUUGGUUCAGCUACAAGCCAGGUACUGGCUCUGGAAGUUGAGAAGCAGUCAUCGGGCUAUACUGCAGAAUUUACUGGUGUAACUCAUCAUGUGACUACUGUGCAAGAUUUUCCUUAUGUUCCCAUUUCCUUGGAGCUUACAGAUGGGCCUGUUCUGCUGCUAGCGUACCCUCCUUCCUGGAAACAGUUGGAUAAGUGUGAAGAUGAGAUGCUGUAAGCCAUACUGGGAACAAAUAAAACACAAUUAAACUCUGCUGUCAGAAAUACAGAUUUGUGGAAGCAGAUUUUAUUAGUUGAAGUUGAAUUGGGUUGAUACAGAAGGGAGUAAGCAAUGAGUGCAGUAAUGAGUUAAAGCUUGAUUAACUGGGAAGGAAUGUUAAGAACAAACUGUAAAGCCAGAGCUCUCAGUAAAGGCAGGAGGGGAAACUGGUGAUGUGCAGCAUACUCAGAAACUGCAUGCGUGUCAUAGAACAGGUGCCAGUUCAGUGUCCUUAGAUGCAACUAAUGGCUCAGAAAUCUUAUGCCACCCUUAGAAAGCUGGUUAGUUUCACAGGAAGCUUGAAUCAUUCUUUUGCUUUCUGAGGUAUUUGUGAAGAGCAGCCCUGCUGCUGCGUCAAGCCUUCUGCACGUUGUAUGUGUGUGGUGGUUAUUACAUGCUUGUGGCAUGUCAGACGACUAAUGCACAUUGAGUGUCCACUAAAUAGUUCUUGUACAGCAUCCAAUUUGAGGCUUUCUGUGAAAAGGUGAGUCAGCACUGAUGUCCUAUCUUUAUAGAGAAAGUAGGGUAUUGUGAAAUACAGGCUUCUCAAGUGGAUUUCUGUGGAGUCAUGUUAACCUCUAAACACAGAGUAACAAGCUCCAACUUAGGCACUCAGGUGGCACUCUUGGAGUGUUUCUCUUCUUUUAAUAGACCACAAAACAUUAAUGUUUUGUUGGUCAACUUUUAGGAAUCCUUCUAGAUGAUUUUAGCAAACAGCUUGAAAAUAAAUACUGUUCGUGGAAGUAAUCCUCGAGUGCAUUUGUGUUUUGCAUCCUAAUAAGCUAUGCAUUUCUCUCAUCACUCAUUCUUUCAUCUUUUUCCUGUUUCUGCUAGCGAAGAUGAACCAUCUCUGAAACUGUCAGAUCCCAGUUGUAAUCUCCUGAGCAUACCAGUCACCUGGCAAGUGUGUUAGUAACUCCCAUGUGAGGUUGGAAGUCAGGUGAUUACCUCCUAGCAAAUGUAUUCUUCAAUUAUGUGUGAUUUGUAUCCUGCCAGCAACUGGAAGAACAGCUCAGGAAAGGGGACUUUUUUCAGGAAAUGCUGUUGUGUUAGGUAUCAGAUUUAAAGGUGUCAUAUGAAGUCAACCCUUCAGUCAAGGAACUGCAAACAGGCUUCUCAAACAUGUUGGCUUUAGUUACAAAACAAGUCCCACUUAUUUCAGCUUAUCACUAGGCCUCAUGAGCGUGUAGCAAAGUGGGAAUCAGACAAUAGAAGUAGCAGCAGCAGAUCCAAAGAAGCUCCCGUCCCUGUUCUGCCUGAAGCAAAUCGAGCUUGCAAAAAUGGAAGUAGGCAGUGGGCGUGUGUAGCUUGAAUCUAAGUUUUCUACAGCAGCAUCCUAGCUUUUACCUUAUAGGCCCUGUUAUUACCUUCCAAUUUUUUUUUAGCGGUAAGCGCUGUCAUUUUCUUAUGCUUGAAGCUUCCUUUGGAGACCUGCAAUGGUUUAAACCUUCCAUUUGCUGAGGAAUAAAGUAUGUCUGGAUUGCAGCAUAUCUAGCCAGGUAAUGCUGGUGAGCUGUGGAUUAUUUUGGCACUGUUGGUUGCCAAGGAGCUUGCUACUGAAUUACCAAAAUAGCUCGUGUUUAUUAUGUAUGCCAGUGUAGCUGAGCUGGUGGCCUUAAGGCCCAGAUCAGGUCUGUGGGCUGUGAACCAUUCCUGCGGUUUUGGGACCACUGCCGAUGGCUACUGUGCAAGGGGGCUGAGGACAUCGUUGUGGCAGGAGGCAGCAGCAACUUCCUGCUUUUGCAGAAAAACCCUGCCUGGCUGUCCCAUUGUGCCAGAGAUGCUUAAGUCACGUUUGGGCUGCUGCCGCCCGUUCGUGAAGCAGGUGAUCUAUGGGACUGCGUUGCCAGAAGAAGAGAUGGAGAAAAGAGGGUGAAGCUGAAGAGGGUGUGCUGUGGCGGGCAGGAAGCGCUCGCUCAUAGUGAGGUGGCCUCUGCUUGCGGAAGGUUUUUGAGACCAAGAGGGAGCUGGAGCGUGUCGUCCCCUCCCCCCGGCAGUGCCUGCUCUGACACUGCCGGCUGAUGUGCAGCAUCAAAACUAGAUGGCUGUGGUGUAGUAGACUGAAGUUCUGUCAGCUUUCUGUACGUCCCCUUAAAGUACAUAGCUUAAAAAUAAAAGUCAACCCUUUAUAAAACCAUUCGAACUCCAUCUACUGAGUAGGCAAACAAGAGAAUAGGAACUUUGAAGUUCUGACCUCAGCUCCAACAUUGGGCUUCCUUUUUGGGCCUUCAAGUCACAUCAUAACUUGCUGUGCCCCUUCAUUAUUCUUGCUUUAUUAAACCGUGAGACAGCAGCUGAGACUUGCCGCUGGUGAGCUGUCACACACAUUGAUUAGCUCUGCAGCAAAGCCUGUGUGGCACUGUGUGGUGUGAGGCUCUGUCCGCUGUGACCCCUGCGGCAGCACCCUCUGCCUCAGCUGGCCCUGGUGAAGCUCAGCCUGUACGGCACUGCUGGCAGUUAGGAGAAAGGGGAAUCGGAAUGGAGUUUGUAGCAGGGAAGCUCAUCCCGAGCAUGGCUGUUAAGGAUGCUUCCCCCAGGAUGAAAGAUUUUUUUUCCGACGAAAAUAGCGAAUUUAGCAGAAUGGUUAUACGCAAUGCCUUUCAGGAUCUAUAAUAAUUACAUGUGCCACAUUUCAAAGACCUGGGUAGCCAAAUGUAGGCGGUAUUAUCUCCAGUCGGACUAAGAGGUAUUAAGGCAAAAUUGUUGAGCCUCAAGGUCCACUAAACUACCUUGGAAAGCUGCUUACUGCUAGAUGAUGAGCAUGGCAAUCCGCUGAUAGAUGAAUGUUGCUUAUUGCGAUUAUUUUAGUAGAAAAGCAUUAAAAGCUGGCAUGUACUGCUACUAAGCUCAUGCAGUGGGGCUCCAUGCUGCGAAGAGAUCGCUCAGUGUCCGGAUACCUAAAAGCUCUGAGGAAUUUGUGUUUGGUUAUUUUAAUGCAUGUUAUGAGGUGUUGCCAUUUAGAUCGGGGAGAAGGAGCUGCUGUUAUUGUUACUGUAUUUCUUAAUGUGUGUUAGUAUAUGCAGAGUAGAAAAACAUGCAGCUUUUAUAUGUGUGGGCUGAUACCUGUCUGCUAGAAUAAUGUGUCCUAACAUUAUCCUUCAUAAGUCAGCAGAUACUUCCUGUUAGUAACUGCGUUUGUAUUUGGGUCACCGCUGGUUUGGCCUUCUCUGCACCCCAGGUGUUGACCACGGCAGUCUUCUGCUUUUGGAGUAAUAAAAUGUUUGCCAGCUUUGUUUUGUCAAAAUAGAAUGCUUAGAAUACCAUCUAUAGAGGCAAAGUGCAUAGCAUGUGCCUGUUCUUUUGUGAAAGUGUUGUUCCAACAAAAGCGUAAAUACUAAGUUUGGUAGAGGAAAGCCAUUGCCUUUUUAUGAUUAUGAUGUUCAAGAAGUUGCUUACUCAUCUGGGCAGCUCUUGGGGCUCAUUUCUGUGGCCAGAAAUGGAAUGGGUCCUCUGGUGAGAGCCUCUGUCCUCUGGCAGGUUGGGAAUGGGGCAUCUUCUCUGAGCCUGGGCUCAGGAGCACCUAUGGUUUAUGGAAUGUGUUUCUGUGGUGAAGCAAGUUUUUCCCGUUCUUACCUUCUCCCCAUCCACGUGUCUUACUCCUUUCUUUAUCCACAUUUCUGUUUUCCAUUUACAGUUAGGAUCG